AGCGAACGCUGGCGGCAGGCCUAACACAUGCAAGUCGAACGAACCUUUCGGGGUUAGUGGCGGACGGGUGAGUAACACGUGGGAACGUUCCUUUAGGUUCGGAAUAACUCAGGGAAACUUGUGCUAAUACCGAAUGUGCCCUUCGGGGGAAAGAUUUAUCGCCUUUAGAGCGGCCCGCGUCUGAUUAGCUAGUUGGUUGAGGUAAUGGCUCACCCAGGCGACGAUCAGUAGCUGGUCUGAGAGGAUGAUCAGCCACAUUGGGACUGAGACACGGCCCAAACUCAUACGGGAGGCAGCAGUGGGGAAUCUUGCGAAAUGGGCGAGAGUCUGACGCAGCCAUGCCGCGUGAAUGAUGAAGGUAUUAGGAGUGUAAAAUUCUUUCACCGGGGAAGAUAAUGACGGUACCCGGAGAAGAAGCCCCGGCUAACUUCGUG
rnacentral:rRNA from 1 species